rnacentral:tRNA from 1 species
GCCGGAGUAGCUCAGUGGUAGAGCACCUUCUUGGUAAGAAGGGGGUCAUGGGUCCAAUUCCCAUCUUCGGCU